rnacentral:rRNA from 1 species
CAAUAGCGUAUAUUAAAGUUGUUGCAGUUAAAAAGCUCGUAGUUGGAUUUCUGGUGGGAGCGAUCGGUCUGGCGCUUAGCGCGAGUACUUGCAUCGUCUCCGGCCAUCCUUGGGGAGAGUCUGUCUGGCAUUAGGUUGUCGGGCAGAGGAUCCUCAUCGUUUACUGUGAAAAAAUUAGAGUGUUCAAAGCAGGCUUAUGCCGUUGAAUAUAUUAGCAUGGAAUAAUAAGAUAGGACUUUGGUACUAUUUUGUUGGUUUGCGCACCAAAGUAAUGAUUAAUAGGGACAGUUGGGGGUAUUCGUAUUCCGUUGUCAGAGGUGAAAUUCUUGGAUUUACGGAAGACGAACUACUGCGAAAGCAUUUACCAAGGAUGUUUUCAUGAA